rnacentral:rRNA from 1 species
UACGUAGGGGGCUAGCGUUGUCCGGAAUCAUUGGGCGUAAAGCGCGCGUAGGCGGCCCGGUAAGUCCGCUGUGAAAGUCAAAGGCUCAACCUUUGAAUGUCAGCGGAUACUGCCGGGCUAGAGCCCGGAAGAGGCGAGUGGAACUCCUGGUGUAGCGGUGGAAUGCGCAGAUAUCAGGAAGAACACCAACGGCGAAGGCAGCUCGCUGGGACGGAACUGACGCUGAGGCACGAAGGUCAGGGGAGCAAACGGG